rnacentral:pre_miRNA from 1 species
AUCACCUGGGGGUUCUGUUAAAAUGCAGAUUCUGAUUCAGUGGGUUUGGGAUGGGACUUGAGAUUCUGCCUUUAUAACAGGCUCCCAGGUGAUGCUGA